AACGAACGCUGGCGGCAUGCCUAACACAUGCAAGUCGAGCGCCCCCGCAAGGGGAGCGGCAGACGGGUGAGUAACACGUGGGAAUCUACCCCAUCUCUACGGAACAACCCAGGGAAACUUGGACUAAUACCGUAUACGCCCUUCGGGGAAGAUUUAUCGGAGAUGGAUGAGCCCGCGUUGGAUUAGCUAGUUGGUGGGGUAAUGGCCGUACCAAGGCGACGAUCCAUAGCUGGUCUGAGAGGAUGAUCAGCCACACUGGGACUGAGACACGGCCCAGACUCCUACGGGAGGCAGCAGUGGGGAAUAUUGGACAAUGGGCGCAAGCCUGAUCCAGCCAUGCCGCGUGAGUGAUGAAGGCCCUAGGGUUGUAAAGCUCUUCACCGGUGAAGAUAAUGACGGUAACCGGAGAAGAAGCCCGGCUAACUUCGUGCCAGCAGCCGCGGUAAU
rnacentral:rRNA from 1 species